rnacentral:rRNA from 1 species
GAUGAACGCUGGCGGCGUGCCUAAUACAUGCAAGUCGAGCGAACCACUUCGGUGGUGAGCGGCGAACGGGUGAGUAACACGUAGGUGAUCUGCCCAUCAGACGGGGACAACGAUUGGAAACGAUCGCUAAUACCGGAUAGGACGAAAGUUUAAAGGUGCUUCUGGCACCGCUGAUGGAUGAGCCUGCGGCGCAUUAGCUAGUUGGUAGGGUAAAGGCCUACCAAGGCGACGAUGCGUAGCCGACCUGAGAGGGUGAACGGCCACACUGGGACUGAGACACGGCCCAGACUCCUACGGGAGGCAGCAGUAGGGAAUCUUCGGCAAAUGGGCGAAAGCCUGACCGAGCAACGCCGCGUGAAUGAUGAAGGCCUUCGGUUGUAAAAUUAC